UUUUACGUCAGCUUUGAAGCAUUCUGACUGUUAUUCAGAAAACUAGAAUUAAUUUUUACGUAAAAG
rnacentral:tRNA from 1 species